rnacentral:rRNA from 1 species
ACACUCCUACGGGAGGCAGCAGUGGGGAAUAUUGGACAAUGGGCGCAAGCCUGAUCCAGCCAUGCCGCGUGAGUGAUGAAGGCCCUAGGGUUGUAAAGCUCUUUCACCGGUGAAGAUAAUGACGGUAACCGGAGAAGAAGCCCCGGCUAACUUCGUGCCAGCAGCCGCGGUAAUACGAAGGGGGCUAGCGUUGUUCGGAUUUACUGGGCGUAAAGCGCACGUAGGCGGACUAUUAAGUCAGGGGUGAAAUCCCGGGGCUCAACCCCGGAACUGCCUUUGAUUCUGGUAGUCUUGAGUUCGAGAGAGGUGAGUGGAAUUCCGAGUGUAGAGGUGAAAUUCGUAGAUAUUCGGAGGAACACCAGUGGCGAAGGCGGCUCACUGGCUCGAUACUGACGCUGAGGUGCGAAAGCGUGGGGAGCAAACAGGAUUAGAAACCCUGGUAGUCC